CCUACGGGAGGCAGCAGUGGGGAAUAUUGCGCAAUGGACGAAAGUCUGACGCAGCGACGCCGCGUGUGGGAUGAAGCUCUUCGGGGUGUAAACCACUGUUGCCCGGGAAGAAACUCCUGAUUCGUCAGGACUGACGGUACCGGGUGAGGAAGCACCGGCUAACUCUGUGCCAGCAGCCGCGGUAAUACAGAGGGUGCGAGCGUUGUCCGGAAUCACUGGGCGUAAAGGGCGCGUAGGUGGCGGGAUAAGUGUGUGGUGAAAGCUCGGGACUCAACCCCGAGUCUGCCAUGCAGACUGUCUUGCUCGAGCGUAGUAGAGGCAGGUGGAAUUCCGGGUGUAGCGGUGGGAUGCGUAGAGAUCCGGAAGAACACCGGUGGCGAAGGCGGCCUGCUGGGCUACUGCUGACACUGAGGCGCGACAGCGUGGGGAGCAAACAGGAUUAGAUACCCUGGUAGUCCACGCCGUAAACGAUGGGUACUAGGUGUCUGGGGGAACGACCCCCUGGGUGCCGGCGCUAACGCAUGAAGUACCCGCCUGGGGAGUACGGCCGCGAAGGCAGAACGUAAAGUAAAGUUAGACGGCGUGAGACGUAGACCGAACGGACGACGACGAGGGAGGAGG
rnacentral:rRNA from 1 species